UGGGGAAUUUUGGACAAUGGGCGAAAGCCUGAUCCAGCCAUGCCGCGUGCAGGAUGAAGGCCUUCGGGUUGUAAACUGCUUUUGUACGGAACGAAAAGACUCUGGUUAAUACCUGGGGUCCAUGACGGUACCGUAAGAAUAAGCACCGGCUAACUACGUGCCAGCAGCCGCGGUAAUACGUAGGGUGCAAGCGUUAAUCGGAAUUACUGGGCGUAAAGCGUGCGCAGGCGGUUAUAUAAGACAGAUGUGAAAUCCCCGGGCUCAACCUGGGAACUGCAUUUGUGACUGUAUAGCUAGAGUACGGCAGAGGGGGAUGGAAUUCCGCGUGUAGCAGUGAAAUGCGUAGAUAUGCGGAGGAACACCGAUGGCGAAGGCAAUCCCCUGGGCCUGUACUGACGCUCAUGCACGAAAGCGUGGGGAGCAAACAGGAUUAGAUACCCUGGUAGUCCACGCCCUAAACGAUGUCAACUGGUUGUUGGGUCUUCACUGACUCAGUAACGAAGCUAACGCGUGAAGUUGACCGCCUGGGGAGUACGGCCGUAAGUUGAAACUUAAAUGAAUUGACGGGGUCAUAGCUGUUUCCU
rnacentral:rRNA from 1 species